AGUAAACAAAUGGUUUUAUUUUCACUGAAAAAUAAAAUAAAUAAUUCUCAGUGAAACCUCCAUCUAAAAACAAAACAACACAUUCUUCCAGACAACAAAUCUGAACAAAAUGCUAUUGGAACAAAACAAAAACAACGAGAGAAAACAGAAUGUCUUGCCAGAAUACGAUAUGAGGUAUACUACAGAAUGCACGUAUCCUAGUAUCGUACACAGAACUUCGUACAAGUUUAAAGUAAACACCAUUCUCUUUGACGGCAAGCUACAAAAACAAAACACCUUCCUUUUAAAGCCAACGGGUAAUAAUGCAUUAUAAAGCAGCUGUAAUGCAUUAAGGUGUGACCAUUUCUAUCGUCUCAUUAUCGUCUCAUAGUAAUGACUAAAUAACAUUUUGAGUCCGUUUAAAACAAGAAAGGUGUCUCCACGUCUCUAACUAUCAUCAGACUGUUGGAACGGAGGAGGUGUCUCCUGAUCUCUAACUAUCAUCAGACUGUUGGAACGGAGGAGGUGUCUCCUGAUCUCUAACUAUCAUCAGACUGUUGGAACAGAGGAGGUGUCUCCUGAUCUCUAAAUAUCAUCAGACUGUUGGAACGGAGGAGGUGUCUCCUGAUCUCUAACUAUCAUCAGACUGUUGGAACAGAGGAGGUGUCUCCUGAUCUCUAACUAUCAUCAGACUGUUGGAACGGAGGAGGUGUCUCCUGAUCUCUAACUAUCAUCAGACUGUUGGAACGGAGGAGGUGUCUCCUGAUCUCUAACUAUCAUCAGACUGUUGGAACAGAGGAGGUGUCUCCUGAUCUCUAACUAUCAUCAGACUGUUGGAACAGAGGAGGUGUCUCCUGAUCUCUAACUAUCAUCAGACUGUUGGAACGGAGGAGGUGUCUCCUGAUCUCUAACUAUCAUCAGACUGUUGGAACGGAGGAGGUGUCUCCUGAUCUCUAACUAUCAUCAGACUGUUGGAACGGAGGAGGUGUCUCCUGGUCUCUAUCAUCAGACUGUUGGAACGGAGGAGGUGUCUCCUGAUCUCUAACUAUCAUCAGACUGUUGGAACGGAGGAGGUGUCUCCUGAUCUCUAACUAUCAUCAGACUGUUGGAACGGAGGAGGUGUCUCCUGAUCUCUAACUAUCAUCAGACUGUUGGAACAGAGGAGGCGUCUCCUGAUCUCUAUCAUCAGACUGUUGGAACGGAGGAGGUGUCUCCUGAUCUCUAACUAUCAACAGACUGUUGGAACGGAGGAGGUGUCUCCUGAUCUCUAACUAUCAUCAGACUGUUGGAACGGAGGAGGUGUCUCCUGAUCUCUAACUAUCAUCAGACUGUUGGAACGGAGGAGGUGUCUCCUGAUCUCUAACUAUCAUCAGACUGUUGGAACAGAGGAGGUGUCUCCACGUCUCUAACUAUCAUCAGACUGUUGGAACGGAGGAGGUGUCUCCUGAUCUCUAACUAUCAUCAGACUGUUGGAACGGAGGAGGUGUCUCCUGAUCUCUAACUAUCAUCAGACUGUUGGAACGGAGGAGGUGUCUCCUGAUCUCUAACUAUCAUCAGACUGUUGGAACAGAGGAGGUGUCUCCACGUCUCUAACUAUCAUCAGACUGUUGGAACGGAGGAGGUGUCUCCUGAUCUCUAACUAUCAUCAGACUGUUGGAACGGAGGAGGUGUCUCCUGAUCUCUAACUAUCAUCAGACUGUUGGAACGGAGGAGGUGUCUCCUGAUCUCUAACUAUCAUCAGACUGUUGGAACGGAGGAGGUGUCUCCUGAUCUCUAACUAUCAUCAGACUGUUGGAACAGAGGAGGUGUCUCCUGAUCUCUAACUAUCAUCAGACUGUUGGAACGGAGGAGGUGUCUCGUAGUAAUGACUAAAUAACAUUUUGAAUCCGUUUAAAACAAGAAAGAAAGCAUUUCAUCUGUUGGCUUUAAGUAAAGUAUUG